rnacentral:rRNA from 1 species
CAACGGAUCUCUUGGUUCUGGCAUCGAUGAAGAACGCAGCAAAAUGCGAUAAGUAAUGUGAAUUGCAGAAUUCAGUGAAUCAUCGAAUCUUUGAACGCACAUUGCGCCCGCCAGUAUUCUGGCGGGCAUGCCUGUUCGAGCGUCAUUUCA